rnacentral:rRNA from 1 species
UAAUACGAAGGGGGCUAGCGUUGUUCGGAAUCACUGGGCGUAAAGCGCGCGUAGGCGGCUUGACAAGUCAGGGGUGAAAUCCUGCGGCUUAACCGUAGAAUUGCCUUUGAAACUGUCAAGCUGGAGUCCUGGAGGGGGUGGCGGAAUUCCUAGUGUAGGGGUGAAAUCCGUAGAGACUAGGAGGAACACCAGUGGCGAAGGCGGCCACCUGGACAGGAUCUGACGCUGAGGCGCGAAAGCGUGGGUAGCAAACAGGAUUAGAUACCCUGGUAGUCCACGCCGUAAACGAUGGGUGCUAGCCGUCGGACCCUUAGGGUCCGGUGGCGUAGCUAACGCGUGAAGCACCCCGCCUGGGGAGUACGGUCGCAAGAUUA